GGUGACUGUCCAGCAUGAGAUCAGUUACACAGUCAUCCACAUGACUGUUCAGAGUGAGAUGGGAUUUCUCAGCAACCUAGAACGACAGGCUCAGCUCUGACCCACAAGACCAGGGAGGAAAACUCUGCCCACUCUACUUCCUCCCCACAAGAGGAAUCAACAAGCCUUUCUCUGACUUUUUCAGCCCUUUCCAGAGACCGUCCAAAGGAAGACCAGGUCGAUGUGCUUGAAGUCAGCAAAAGAACAGACAGCGCAGCCACCCCCUGCAAGCAUGAGCGUCAUUGUUUUGAAGAUUCAUCUGUUGGCAGCAGGGCUGAGCACAACCAAGGACAAGUAUAUCUUACACCCUCUGUAUGAAAAGUGAGAUCAGAGACGCUCAGGUCCUUCCUGAGGCUUCUGUUCCCACCAUGCAGUCCCCAUCCCUAGGCCCAGGUGCAGCCUGCCAAGCAGAUCAACUAGGGACGAUGUCUCUUUCAUGCCCAGGCCUGCCUCCACCAGAUGACAGACCUGCAAAGAGUCUUGUACCCGACCGUGGCUUGUACCAGGCAGCUCCUAUUGGGCCUAACAGCCUGGUUUGUACCUGGCUCUUCAGGGAAUACUGAAAUGUCUGCAGUUAUUGGGUAACUCUGUAUUGACUGUGCCCUGCCUUCCAUCUCAUCCAUAAAAUAAGGGAUGUGGGUCUAUUUACUUCAGUGGCCCUUUGUGUCUCUGAUGCAAGCCCUCUUGGCAUCACCACAGUAGUUCCGAGCGCCUACGCUGG
rnacentral:lncRNA from 1 species